rnacentral:rRNA from 1 species
AGCGGCGGACGGGUGAGUAACGCGUGGGUAACCUGCCCUAUACACACGGAUAACAUACCGAAAGGUAUGCUAAUACGAGAUAAUAUAAGAGAUUCGCAUGGAUUUCUUAUCAAAGCUGAGGCGGUAUAGGAUGGACCCGCGUCUGAUUAGCUAGUUGGUAAGGUAACGGCUUACCAAGGCGACGAUCAGUAGCCGACCUGAGAGGGUGAUCGGCCACAUUGGAACUGAGACACGGUCCAAACUCCUACGGGAGGCAGCAGUGGGGAAUAUUGCACAAUGGGCGAAAGCCUGAUGCAGCAACGCCGCGUGAGUGAUGUAGGCCUUCGGGUCGUAAAACUCUGUCCUCAAGGAAGAUAAUGACGGUACUUGAGGAGGAAGCCCCGGCUAACUACGUGCCAGCAGCCGCGGUAAUACGUAGGGGGCUAGCGUUAUCCGGAUUUACUGGGCGUAAAGGGUGCGUAGGUGGUCUCUUAAGUCAGGAGUGAAAGGCUACGGCUUAACCGUAGUAAGCUCUUGAAACUGGGAGACUUGAGUGCAGGAGAGGAAAGUGGAAUUCCUAGUGUAGCGGUGAAAUGCGUAGGUAUUAGGAGGAACACCAGUAGCGAAGGCGGCUUUCUGGACUGUAACUGACACUGAGGCACGAAAGCGUGGGGAGCAAACAGGAUUAGAUACCCUGGUAGUCCACGCCGUAACGAUGAGUACUAGGUGU